AUGAAAUGUGAGAAUUGCAAGGCUGUGGCAGAUGAAUACAUAGAAUGUGAAAUCACGAUUAUUAUAAUAGAUUUAAUACUUCACAAACCCAAGGCCUAUAGACAUCUUCUUUACAAUGUCAUCAAUCAAGAAACCUUGAAGUUUCAGUUUAGCUACUGUAUAGUUGUGUUAGUGGCUUAUGAGGUUAUCAAUUUUGUUGUUCUACAUCAAAUUCGAGUUCCUUCUCUCUUUGUCAUAAACCCUAGUUUUAGAAAUUUUGGUGAACCUUGA